rnacentral:lncRNA from 1 species
CCACAGCCAACCACCUCUCUGACUCGCCUACAGGUAACCCUAACUCAGGAACCGUCAUACUCAAGCUAUAAAUAGAGGAUCUCGCCUCAGUUACAAGAUACACAAGAAGAGGAGAUUCAAGAAGUCAAGUGUUGUAACAUCCCGCUUUUUAGAGCAUUUAAAAAUACGAGAUUUUAAAAAAAAUUCUUUAAAUCAAACACAUCUUGUUUUCCCGAAAUAUUCAAAACUCUUUUUACAAAUAAAACCAUGCAUUAAUACUACAUAUGUGAUGCACUUGAUUGCUAUAGAAACCCUAUUCUAAUUCCUUUUGAAUAUUAUUCGAAUCCUUGAGUCCGUCAAGCCCUUUUCAACACAAAGUCCUUUAAAUUUUCACACCUAAAAUCUCUCUCUCUAAAGUCCAAGAAACCUUUUUAAUAUUUCUUUUCCCAGAAACCUAAUAUUCAAAUCUAAUUUGAAUAUUGAAUCUACCCUAACACUCCUAGCUCCCCAACCCUCCC